rnacentral:rRNA from 1 species
UACGAAGGGGGCUAGCGUUGUUCGGAAUCACUGGGCGUAAAGCGCACGUAGGCGGAUGUGCCAGUCAGGGGUGAAAUCCCGGAGCUCAACUUCGGAACUGCCUCUGAUACAGCACGUCUUGAGUCCGGAAGAGGUGGGUGGAAUUCCUAGUGUAGAGGUGAAAUUCGUAGAUAUUAGGAAGAACACCGGUGGCGAAGGCGGCUCACUGGUCCGGUACUGACGCUGAGGUGCGAAAGCGUGGGGAGCAAACAGG